rnacentral:rRNA from 1 species
AACGAACGCUGGCGGCAGGCCUAACACAUGCAAGUCGAGCGAGGACUGCGGUCCUAGCGCCGGACGGGGGAGUGACGCGUGGGAACGUGCCCUUUACUUCGGAAGAUCGCGGGGAAACUGGGAGGAAUACCGGCGGAGCCCUUGCGGGGAAAGAUUUAUCGGCGAAGGGUCGGCCCGCGUUGGCAUAGUUAGUUGUGGGGGUAAUGGCGUACAAAUGCGUGGUUGCAUAGCGGGUUUGAGAGGAAGAUCCGCGACACUGGGAGUGAGACACGGCCCAGAAUCCUACGGGAUGGAGGAGUGGGGAAUCUUAGACAAUCGGGGAAAUGCUGAUGUACCUAUGCUGGGUGAGCGAUUAAAGCCUUAGGGUUGUAAAGCUCUUUAAGCUGGGACGAUAAUGACGGUACCAGCAGAAGAAGCCCCGGCUAACUCCGUG